AUCGCAUAAGGUGGAUACUACAAUGAAGAUGGCAAAAAUAUCUUCUCAUGGAGAUGCUUUGGUUAAAAGUGUGGUUUAUUUAUUUAGCCACACUUUAAACAAAAAUAACACUUUUAUAAAUAUCAAAAUCUAACCAUACAAUCCAUCAUCCAAAGGUCAAAAAGAAAUAUAUUCACAUAAAGACAAUUAUAAAAUCUUCAUUGUAGUAUCCACCAAAAGUUAAAUGCUUAAA